rnacentral:misc_RNA from 1 species
UGAAGGCACAAAUGGAAAAAUUAGCAUAUGCAAUUUGUGUAGUUUUUGAGGUCUCCAAUCUCCUUGCCUUCUUUGUGUCAUCAUUGUCCCAAAAGAAGGGAAUAUGGCAAUCAAGAACAAGGAUCGCUUCNNNNNNNNNNNCAUGGUUGGCCUGUUCUCAGGUAGCUCUUGGGUGCAAGCAAGUGCAAGUUUUGCCAGCUUAGCAGCUUCCGAUUCGGAGAAGUUUCCUUUAAGAUUGGUAUCAAUAAAUCCUUCAUAUAUGCAAGAUGCAGCUGCCACGCGCAUUGAAUUGGAAAGCAUCUGUUUACCAGAGAG